GAUGAACGCUGGCGGCGUGCCUAAUACAUGCAAGUCGAGCGACCAGACGAGGAGCUUGCUCCUCUGACGGUAGCGGGGGACGGGUGAGUGACACGUGGAUAACCUACCUCUUAGACUGGGGUAACUACGGGGAACCGCAGCCACUACUGGCUAAUAUAUUCAACCGCAGAGAUCAAUGGUGAAUCAGGGUUUUGCCGUCUGUUAGAGAUGGAUCCGCGUCGCAUUAGCUAGUUGGUAAGGUAACGGCUUACCAAGGCUACGAUGCGUAGCCGACCUGAGGGGGUGAUCGGCCACACUGGAACUGAGACACGGUCCAGACUCCUACGGGAGGCAGCAGUGGGGAAUCUUCGGCAAUGGGCGAAAGCCUGACGCAGCAACACCGCGUGAGUGAUGAAGGUCUUCGGGUCGUAAAACUCUGUUAUUAGGGAAGAACAAAUGUGGAUGUAACUAUCCACGUCUUGACGGUACCCAAUCAGAAAGCCCCGGCUAACUACGUG
rnacentral:rRNA from 1 species